AAUAGAACGUUUUUCUUUUUUUUCAUUUAAAAGUUUAUUGAACACUGCUAAGUAAAUGGCAAAUUCAAAUUUAAAUUUGAAGAUAAUGAAUAUGGGGUUUGGAUGUUAAUUUCUCCUCCGUUCAUUAAUUACAUGUUUGUGGUAGGCUGAAGGUGUUGUUUCAUCCAGCAUUCAACCUCUUUAGAAUACAAAUAUAUUUGUGAGUAGAAACUCUGAUUACUGUGUUUGCUUUCUCAUCAUGCCAUUACAUUCUCAUAUUCAGUUUUGAUUAAUUAACCAUGCUUAAAUGUAUGAGAACUAUAUUGGAGAAGUUCUUAGUGCUGAAGAGAAGAUUCUUGGGGCUCAAUAUGAUAUCAGCCCGCUAACACUCCCCUCAAACUUCCUGAUUACUUUAACAUUGGAG
rnacentral:lncRNA from 1 species